rnacentral:rRNA from 1 species
AUGAACGCUGGCGGCGUGCCUAAUACAUGCCAGUCGAGCGAACAGACGAGGAGCUUGCUCCUCUGACGUUAGCGGCGGACGGGUGAGUAACACGUGGAUAACCUACCUAUAAGACUGGGAUAACUUCGGGAAACCGGAGCUAAUACCGGAUAAUAUAUUGAACCGCCUGGUUCAAUAGUGAAAGACGGUUUUGCUGUCACUUAUAGAUGGAUCCGCGCCGCAUUAGCUAGUUGGUAAGGUAACGGCUUACCAAGGCAACGAUGCGUAGCCGACCUGAGAGGGUGAUCGGCCACACUGGAACUGAGACACGGUCCAGACUCCUACGGGAGGCAGCAGUAGGGAAUCUUCCGCAAUGGGCGAAAGCCUGACGGAGCAACGCCGCGUGAGUGAUGAAGGUCUUCGGAUCGUAAAACUCUGUUAUUAGGGAAGAACAAAUGUGUAAGUAACUAUGCACGUCUUGACGGUACCUAAUCAGAAAGCCACGGCUAACUACGUG